rnacentral:rRNA from 1 species
GGGUUGUGAGGUUAAGCGACUAAGCGUACACGGUGGAUGCCCUGGCAGUCAGAGGCGAUGAAGGGCGUGCUAAUCUGCGAUAAGCGCCGGUAAGGUGAUAUGAACCGUUAUAACCGGCGAUACCCGAAUGGGGAAACCCAGUGUGAUUCGUCACACUAUCAUUAACUGAAUCCAUAGGUUAAUGAGGCGAACCGGGGGAACUGAAACAUCUAAGUACCCCGAGGAAAAGAAAUCAACCGAGAUUCCCCCAGUAGCGGCGAGCGAACGGGGAGGAGCCCAGAGCCUGAAUCAGCAUGUGUGUUAGUGGAAGCGUCUGGAAAGGCGCGCGAUACAGGGUGACAGCCCCGUACACAAAAGCGCAUGUGCUGUGAGCUCGAUGAGUAGGGCGGGACACGUGGUAUCCUGUCUGAAUAUGGGGGGACCAUCCUCCAAGGCUAAAUACUCCUGACUGACCGAUAGUGAACCAGUACCGUGAGGGAAAGGCGAAAAGAACCCCGGCGAGGGGAGUGAAAAAGAACCUGAAACCGUGUACGUACAAGCAGUGGGAGCACCCUUUGGGUGUGACUGCGUACCUUUUGUAUAAUGGGUCAGCGACUUAUAUUCUGUAGCAAGGUUAACCGAAUAGGGGAGCCGGAGGGAAACCGAGUCUUAACCGGGCGUUAAGUUGCAGGGUAUAGACCCGAAACCCGGUGAUCUAGCCAUGGGCAGGUUGAAGGUUGGGUAACACUAACUGGAGGACCGAACCGACUAAUGUUGAAAAAUUAGCGGAUGACCUGUGGCUGGGGGUGAAAGGCCAAUCAAACCGGGAGAUAGCUGGUUCUCCCCGAAAGCUAUUUAGGUAGCGCCUCGUGAAUUCAUCUCCGGGGGUAGAGCACUGUUUCGGCUAGGGGGCCAUCCCGGCUUACCAACCCGAUGCAAACUGCGAAUACCGGAGAAUGUUAUCACGGGAGACACACGGCGGGUGCUAACGUCCGUCGUGAAGAGGGAAACAACCCAGACCGCCAGCUAAGGUCCCAAAGUCAUGGUUAAGUGGGAAACGAUGUGGGAAGGCCCAGACAGCCAGGAUGUUGGCUUAGAAGCAGCCAUCAUUUAAAGAAAGCGUAAUAGCUCACUGGUCGAGUCGGCCUGCGCGGAAGAUGUAACGGGGCUAAACCAUGCACCGAAGCUGCGGCAGCGACACUGUGUGUUGUUGGGUAGGGGAGCGUUCUGUAAGCCUGUGAAGGUGUGUCGUGAGGCAUGCUGGAGGUAUCAGAAGUGCGAAUGCUGACAUAAGUAACGAUAAAGCGGGUGAAAAGCCCGCUCGCCGGAAGACCAAGGGUUCCUGUCCAACGUUAAUCGGGGCAGGGUGAGUCGACCCCUAAGGCGAGGCCGAAAGGCGUAGUCGAUGGGAAACGGGUUAAUAUUCCCGUACUUGGUGUUACUGCGAAGGGGGGACGGAGAAGGCUAUGUUGGCCGGGCGACGGUUGUCCCGGUUUAAGCGUGUAGGUGUGUGUUCCAGGUAAAUCCGGUUCACUUUAACACUGAGGCGUGACGACGAGGCACUACGGUGCUGAAGCAACAAAUGCCCUGCUUCCAGGAAAAGCCUCUAAGCAUCAGGUAACAUCAAAUCGUACCCCAAACCGACACAGGUGGUCAGGUAGAGAAUACCAAGGCGCUUGAGAGAACUCGGGUGAAGGAACUAGGCAAAAUGGUGCCGUAACUUCGGGAGAAGGCACGCUGACACGUAGGUGAAGUGAUUUACUCAUGGAG